rnacentral:ncRNA from 1 species
AAUCGCGGGUCAGCUAUACCGCGGUGAAUACGUUCUCAAGUCUUGUACUCACCGCCCGUCAAGUCAGGGAAGUUGGGAGUACUCAAAAUCCCCACAUUUCGUGGGGCCUACGGUAAACUCAAUGACAAGGACUAAGUCGUAGACGCAAACUGCGUCUGUUGCGACGCUAGAGAGUAAUCUCU